CUUUCCACAGAGUAAACAUGUACCAUCCAAUAAUACUCUGCUUCGUCGUAAUAUCUAUUUGCGAAUUAAAAGGUAAGAAAAUCUUUAACUUCUCAUUCAUUUUGUAUAAUGAUCAUAAAUAUGAUUUAUAUGAACUAGUAGGAAGCCUGUUGUUUAGUGGUUGUAGUUUUUUGGUGUUGUUCAUAGGUGUUUCUCGUUUCUCGGGCUGUAUAAACAUUAGACCAUUGGUUUUCCUGGUUGAAUUGCUUAACACUUGUCAUUUUGACGCCCUCUAUAGAUUGCUUUUCGUUGUCAAAUUUUUAUACAUCGUGACUUGGAUGAAGAGUUGUCUCAUUGGCACUCAUGCCACAUCUUUUUUUUUAAGUUUGUCAAUAUCAUAAUUCAACUUUUGGGGGUUUUUUUGUAUAGCAAGCAGUAGUAGCCUGUAAUUCACUGGUUUUAUUUUUUUUUUAUUGUACAUCAUGUUUUUUCGUAUACCGUUUUGUAUGUACUUAGUAAAUCAUUCCGUAUCUUUUUCGUUUGAAUUUAUUUUUCUUUUGUCGUUUCAACGCUUGUUAUAGUUAACUUUAUGGUUUGUUUUUGUCAAAUGUUUUAUUAACUUAAUCCUCAUUUGGCCUCUGGUAAAGAAUGUCAUUAUUAAUCCUACCACGUCUUCUUAUUGUUUAUUGUUUAUCCGCAGAAAUCCAUUUUAAGUAUUUUUGUGACACCAUGCAGCCUACUCUUGGUUUUCCUAGGUUGUGUAACCACAUGGUAAAUGCACACUCACUUUCAUAAACAUGUGUGAUUUAUAAUUGAAAAGAGUAAAUCAAAAGUUUGAUGUAGAAAAAAAAAUUACUUUAAAAAUGUUCAGUAUUACAAUCCCUUCACAGUUAUAUUUUGAUCUGAAUAUCUCCUUUAAUUCUCAAGAGCCAAGUCAUAAAAAAAAAUCAAUCUAGACAGGGUUAUUUUCUAAAAGGGAGUAAUUGAUAAAUCUGAGUAAAUAGGGAUUAAUUAAUGAGAUGUGUUAUUGAAGCAAAUAAAAAUUACACUUUUGAUAAAUUGUGUAUGAGUAACAAGAAUAUCACUAGGUGUUGAUAAUUUUGUAGGAAAAGAUUUAUGUCUAGUGGAAGGAAUGGUAAUAAUAAGAUAGAUUGGGGGCCUAAAUGAAAAAAAAAUUGGAGUUUUUAAAUAGUUGUCAAAAUAUAAUUUAUAUCAUGUUUUUUUCAAAAACUUUCAAACUUCAGGUUUUGCAGAUUUUGUAUAGAUUAUAUAUGGAAAACCUAGUUUUGUAUGAUAAGAGAAAACUAAACCAUAGACAAUGGGGUCAACGUACUCAUGUGUUGGUUAUAUUAAUAUGAAAAAUUUUACGCAUGCAUUUGAAAAUGUCUGUACCAAAUCAGGAAUAUGAAAGUUUUGUCAUUUGAUUUUGCCAUGUGGUUAGGGACUUUCCGAUUGAAUUUUCCUCGGAGUUCAGUAUUUUUGUGAUUUUACCUUUUACAUACUACUCACUAAAUUUGCACAUUCCAUUAGAUUUAGGCCGAUUCUUAUCUGCUCUUUCAAACUUCUAGAUUGAGGGGGACACCAUGGCAAUAUUCACUAGUUAAUUUUGGAAAGGAAUUGCAUAUCCCAUUGACAUGUAAGAUAUGAGUUUGGUGGGAAACUUUUGUUAAUCUAUUUUAUAUUGUAGACCGCAAUUCUUCGUGCUUUGAAAACAUUUACAACAUAACUUCCAAUGGAUAAAUCUAAUUAUUAGUAUACAAGCAAAUCUAAAUAAGCUUUAUCACUACUAGGUUUUGUCUAUGAACCGCUCCCUAAAACAAGUAGUGUUUUUGAACAGUUACUGAUUGUAUAAUCCCAACGGAUUCACAAUUUACUUGAGUUAUUUCGCGAUAAAAGAACUGAAUAUUUUCGCUGAUGCAAUCUGCAAUCCAAACCAUGAUUAUUUUUUUUCUUUUAUUUACUUUAUAAUUAAAAAGCUAAAAUUGAUUUAGUACAUUUGUGAUACCAAACAAAUACUAAUGAUCAUUAUUCUUAAAAACAAUUUACAGUGAAAUACAAUAUCAUAAUUAUAUGACAAACAACUUAACUGUUAAUCGUUAAUUUGUUCUCAUCUCUAAUUGAUUUUAGAAAAUUCAAAUGUUAAAAUGGAAAACGUAUAGAAUAUAAAAUUCCUAAAGGGACAUUAAAUGGAGGAUAUUAUAACAUAAUUCUUUACGGACAGUUAUGAACACUUCUUUUAAAAUUGUCUUACUUUUUUACACAUUUAAUGACAAUGGUGAGUAAAUUCAAACUCUAAGGUUAUUGCAUGAAUAUUGGUGAAUAUUGUUCCGAGUAGAUAUUUUUUAUUGCACGAGGUUCUGAUUUUAAUAUAUAUAUAUAUAUAUAUAUAUAUAUAAAUUACAAGGGUUAAUUUACACCAAAAUCCAUACAAAAACACUUUUAUUGUAAAUCUAAACAAAUAAAAGAACAUAUAUAAAAAAGUAGAUGUGGUAUGAUUGCCAAUGAGAAAACUUUUACAAGAGACCACAUGACACAGAAAUUAACACCUUUAGGUCACCGUGCGGCCUUCAACAAUGAGCAAGCCCAUACCGCAGAUGCAGCUAUAAAAGGCCCCGAAAUGACAAUUUGUUUGUCACUGAAAACGCCAUCAAUUUGAAAAUUUGUUUGAAUUAGUGCAAUGUAAUAUAUUAUGGCAAAUUUAAAAUUAAAUAUGUUCUGUGUUAAAUAUGUUUUUGCUAUACAUUAUUCUUAUGUUCAAUGCAUUCGAGAUUGUCCAAAGUCAUUUAUAUAACGGCCCAUUUUAGAUGUUUAAAAUGUUCAGGUUAUCUGAAAUUUUGACUUGUUCCCUUUUCUGAGAAUAUAAAUACAUUUGUAAACAUACAUUUAAUGGGUUUAAGAAAUCAGUAAUGAGUAGUGAUAUCUAUAAAACACAAAUGUUUGAUUAUAUUUGCAGCGUAAAUCACAACAAAUUUCAGAAUAAUUUAGAUGCUUCUUUUACCAGGUCGUUGAUUUAUACAUACAUUUAUAUGUUCAGAAGUGGAGUAUAUAUACUUAAAUAACUGUUUUUCCGGACCUAAGUUUGUUUUUAGGUGUCACGCCACCAAUUACUCCCUCCAAUUUAGAACGUAUAUGACAGUAGGCCUACUCGGACAAAAAAUAGUGCAUUUGAUGUCAUUGUUUAGCUAAACUAUUAACCAACAAAUUGGCAGAAAUGAAACUUUUGGUAAAAGAGAAAUAUAUUAAUAUAAAAAAGAAGAUGUGGUAUGAUUGCCAAUGAGACAACUGUCCACAAGAGACCAAAAUGACACAGACAUUAACAACUAUAGGUUACCGUACGGUCUUCAACAAUGAGCAACGCCCAUACCGCAUAGUCAGCUAUAAAAGGCCCCGAUAUGACAAUGUAAAACAAUUCAAACGAGAAAACUAACGGCCUUAUUUAUAUAAAAAAAAAAUGAACGAAAAACAAAUAUUUAACACAUAAACAAACGACAACCACCGAAUUACAGGCUCCUGACUUGGGACAGGCACAUACAUAAAUAAUGUGGCGGGGUUAAACAUGUUGGGAUCCCAACCCUCCCCAUAACCUGGGACAGUGGUAUUACAGUACAACAUAUAUAUAUAAGAAGACCAUUUUGAGCUUAAAUUAACUUGUUUAUGAGUUUGCAUUCAAAAUUGAGGAUAAAUGCACUCCAUAGUAUACUAAUUUAAGAUUUCCAGAAAACCAGGGGUUAUUUUCGGAAGACCUCUUCUUUCUUAUAUGAUUUCAAACAUCUGUUGAAAAUUGGCAUGUAGAAAGCUGAUACAUGUACAAUUCAUGAUAUACCUGGUUUCUAUGAAGUUAAACUUAAGGUAAAAUAUUUAGAAAGCUGUGAAAAUUGCAAAAUUUGGUUGAACAGAUAGGUCCAUUCAAUUGGUGGUCUGACACCUAUAUAUCUGUCUUGUUUUACUAACGUCAUUCCGUCUUGCUGUUCAAUAUAGUUUCCUUCGACUGUUUUAUUAAUUGUUGAUUUCUGGGCCUUUUAUAGCUUACUAUGCGGAAAGGGAUGUGCUCAUUGUUGAAGGUCUUUAGGUGAAUUAUAGUUGUUAAUUCUGUGUCAGUUGGUCUCUUGUGAAGAGUUGUCUCAUUGGCAAUUAUACCACAUCUUUGUUUUUUAUAUCAACAUAUAUAUCAGAAUGAAAAAUCGUGUACACAAGACACGCCACGCCGUUCGUCUACAAGAGACUAGUCAGUGGCUCUCGAAUCUAAAAAGAUAAAAGGACAAAUAAAGUAUUGAGUUUAAGAGAAUUGGUGGUCCAAAAUUCUGUAAGAUUCAAUCAAAUACAGCUAAGGUAAUAUAUUCCUGCGUAUAAACUAGUAUUUCGUGAAAAAGAGUUUUUUUAUCACAUUUCAUCAUAAUUAUGACCAUAUCAAUGAUAGUUCACAUCAAAACACAUAUUCUGACUAGUCAGAUUGUGAUGGUGAUAGCCUCGCAGAGUAUACCUCCACUUUCAGUGGCAUAACCCCACUACCUCAAUUAUUAUUCGAAUUAAUCAACAAUCAAUAAUUAUUUGUGAUUGUUAUAAAUUGAAAGAAUGUGUAUGCCUUUAUACUAGUUUUUUAUGGGAUAUGGGGUAUGGGGUAUAUAUUUUAAUUGUGAGAACAAUUGUGAAGUAAGAAGUUUAACAACCUGUUUAUUUUAAGAAAGCUUACACCAUAGGCUUUCAUUUCAAACCACACAUGAAUAUGUUCUUUACUCUUGCAUAUGGUAGACCUUAAUAAGUGUAUUGUCUUAUAUUUAUAGUACCUCAUGUCGGUCAAAUUGAAUCUUUUUUCGUGACUCCGCAUCCAACAAUGCACAUUGGAAUCGAAAUAACAGCUGUGCAAAGUUUCGUGCUUUAACAAAAAGUAAUUAUUUUUUCUCAUAUCCGCCGUAAUAUACAUGAUUGAGCUCAAAAAUGCCAAUGAAUAACAUAUUUUGGUCGAUUUCACAGUUAGUGCUUCUUCUGAUUUAUAAUUGGUUAUCUAGAACAAGUAAUUGCAUGUACUUAAGAUGAAAGAAACAAAAUCAAGAAUUGAAAUUGUUACUAUAAGUCAGAAGAGCGUUAGCUACGGAGUAAAAUAAGGUAAAAAAUUGAUAGAUUAUGGAGCUCCUUUUCCAGAUAUUUAAGUUAAAAAAAAAAAGAAAUCUACAAUCUGGCUAAAUUUUUGUACAUUGGUAAACCACUCCUAAUGAGCUAUUACAGUAUUAUAUGAAAAGAAAAAUGGGUGUUAUGGGGGGAAAUAGUUUACCCUAUAUCGUAGGAAGAAAACCAAGGAGUCCGAAUAUCAUUGGUAAUCAUACAACAUCUCCUCAAUUUGAUUUUAAAGUCACAUCGUGAUUACACAUAAAUUGACAGUAUUACUCUCAUUGACAUAUUUUUAGAGAAACAUUUUAUUAGCAUUAAGGUUGAUAAUCCGUUAAGAGUCUGAAUUAUAUUUUGUUAUUUUGAAUGUAUCAAGAACAAUGUGAUUUUUUUAGAAUCAAGGUAUUUUGUCUUUAAAUCGGAAGCAUUACAAAGAUGCUUUUCAGUGCCAGGUACCAAAAAACGAUGCUGCAAAGAAGGAAAUUAAUUUUGCAAUCUGUAAAUGGCUUGAUUAUCAAGAAUAUAAGAAUAAAAGAAAGUAGAAAUUAGCAUGCCGCAAAUGUUGCAUAGUCGAUUAAGCAACAUUACAUGAAGGGAACAUAAUUGAUAAAUUUUUCAGUAUUGGCUCUUCUUUAUUUUGUGAAAAUAAAUAAAAGUAUGUUCAGCGUUAUUUAAAACACUCCUUACAAUAAUUCGAUUUUACUAACAAAUAAUAAAGUGUUAGCAAGACCAUAAAAUUAGUUUUAUAAUCGAUGAUGAAAAUAUAUUGUUUAAAGCAUUGUACGGUUUUUUAAAUUGCAGUUCCUGUUUUCAACAAAUCGAGUUGAGCAUAUUAACCUUUUUCGUUUGCUUAUUCAGUUGGAGUAUAACAUUUGAAUUUUAAAUAUAGAUUCACUUGAUAGGAAUACAUAUUUUGAAAUUUGUUAAAUAAUUUAGUGUUUAUGAUAUUGAUUUGCAUCGAACUUUGUCUUUUGACAUUACAGCUAAAAUCGAUCUCCGAUGUUAGUCGUAUGUUAUGUCUACAUUCUUCACUCUUGAACAAAGCUAUGAUUUUUUAAAUGCAAAACUACAGUCAAGAUGCGUCAUUUAUAGACAAAUAAGUGUCAGUGAACGUACAUGUCAAAACAACUAGUCCCAUCCUUUUGAACGUCAAUAAUCUGAAUUAUAAAUGAUUAAAUUGGAAAUUUUGCUUAAGAUACUGUGUUCCAACCGGUUAUUCAAAAUAACCUGCUUACAUUUGUCCGUUAUAUAUUAUUAUGUCGAGCAAUGGUGUAUAUUUUUUUAGUAUCUGAACUUUUUUUCUUGGGCAUGGCUGAGUAAAAUUGAGUUUCAAGCAAACAUUAGCUUAAUAUAUAUUAGAAUAACUGCGACAUUAAUAUUUAGACGGGAUUCAUGAUUUGUAUAUAACUUUACGUUAACCUUUCCAGCUGCAAGUUCUUUUAAGGAGUAGGGGUUUAUCUAAGUUUCACAAUUAUGUGUAAGGAAAAAAUGAAUAAACUCCAAAGAUGUAACUCUAACUAAAGGAACAAGUUUUUUUCUUAAGUUAUCCUACAACUAAGCCUUCCAGAUGUUUUCCCUCUAAUAUAAUCAAAUUGUCCUUCUUACUUUAAGCGGUUUUUAACUCAUCAGUUAAUUUUGCUACUGAAAGACAUUAAUCGUACCUAUAUAUAUGAUCGAAGUAGCAAGACGUGCUUAUCAAUCACGCAACAAUAUUUACAAUUUUUCUCAUUGUCAAGCUUCAAUACCCCCAACUAGCUUUCUAUAUUUUAAAAUUGCUGUAAAUUUUGUUGGUUCAGAGCGUUAUGUUUAGCAAAUACGAGUACAUCUUCUGUCAUGAAUAACACAUUUUUCGUCAGGGGUAAUUGUUUUGGUCGCUCUCCCACCCGUAACAUAUAACAAGGAUGUCCGUGAAAAAAUGACUGUAAUUUGUAAAGGAUAACCGUAAUUUAUAAAGGGUUGCCGUAACUUUUAAAGGAUGACCGUCAAUUUUAAGAAUAUCCGUAUUUGUAUUCAGAUCUUUUUGCUGAGUUUGUCUCGGUUAGCGAAUAUAAAUAUGUCUAAUCAAUUUCUUUUUAACUAUUUGCUGUAUUUUGAAUUCAUGACAAUGUUGUAUACACAGAGAAACAAGUUGUCAGUAAGCUGGAGUCUCUUAUUGACAACAUUUUUGUUGAAUUUAGAGGUAGACCACUUUUUUAAAUUGUCGGCAUUCCUAUGAGAAUGAUAACUGUGCCUCUCCAUGCGGACUUCUUCUUCCUUUCGUAACGUUUGGAGUUGCUUUAGACACUUGUGAAAAACAAAAAGAUCAAAGAACUCAGAUCAUUUAAUUUCACAUUCAGAUAUAAAUUGAUGAUGUUCUUUCUUUUAACUAUCCAAACUUCUCCGAUUGGAUUCCAUUUAUAUUUCCUCCAUUGCUAGAAAUUAAAGAAACAACAAACACGGCUUUCUCUGUCUAAUGUUUAGACUUUUACAACAAAUUUGGCAUAAGCGGUUAUCUCAGUACAAGAAUCUAUAACAAACGAAACGAUUUUAAUUUUUGAAAAUUAUCAAUUUCUCCCACCUUAGAAGCAAUAUACCAACUGCACCUACAUGUGGAAUUAUCAUUUCCCAAUCCAUUUGGUUUCCAAAAACGUAUUGCAUCUGCCACUCAGACUUUGUUAAUCGUCACCAGUGUCUGAGAAGAAAGUUGAUGAAGAAGGUGUAUGCAAGAAAAAGUCUAGUAUUUUUUUUUUCUAAAAAAGGGAAGAUACCAAGACCUUGUUGAUAAAUAUGUAUUCAAAUAUCAUCUUCACAAAUAUUACACGAUAGUAUUGAAGUCUAUAUUCUAGGUACUGACGUUGUUUAUCAUCUCAAUAACAUUUUAUAUUAUUUUUUUAUUUGUCUUUGUUAAUUAUUGCUUUAAAUGUCUAUCCGAUUUUUGGUAAUAUAUACAAAAAGAAGAUGUGGUAUGAUUGCCAAUGAGACAACUAUCCACAAAAGACCAAAAUGACACAGACAUUAACAACUAUAGGUCACCGUACGGCCUUCAACAAUGAGCAAAGCCCAUACCGCAUAGUCAGCUAUAAUAGGCCCCGAUAAGACAAUGUAAAAACAAUUCAAACGAGAAAACUAACGGCCUUAUUUAUGUAAAAAAAAUGAACGAAAAACAAAUAUGUAACACAUAAACAAACGACAACCACUAAAUUACAGGCUCCUGACUUGGGACAGGCACAUACAUAAAUAAUGUGGCAGGGUUAAACAUGUUAGCGGGAUUCCAAUUUCCAUACCCAUUUGACGUUGUUUGGUACUUCCACAUGUGAUAAGGUUACUUUUUGUAUUCUUGUCUUUCAUGUUUGAUAAUGUGCUAUAUAAGCCUUUAUUUUCCUUUGUUGACAUAGCUGUUGUUUUAUAGUGAUUAAGACUAUUACCACAAUGUUUACUGCUGUACCCCUAUUUUUGACAUGCUUACCUAUUACAGUUUAUUUGUCAUAAGAGUAACAUGAUUAGGUAGCUAUAAAACCAGGUUGUGUCCACCAUUUUUCUAUAUAAUUAAAUGACUAUACCAAUUCAGGAAUAUGAUAUUUGUUAUCCAUUCGUUUGAUGUGUUUGAGCUUUUGAUUUUGCUUUUUGGUUUGGAACUUUAAGUUUUUAAUUUUCUUUGGAGUUCGUUAUUUUUGUUCUUUCACUUUUUUUUUUAAAUACAGGAGCCUUUAAUUCAGUGAUUGUCAUUUGUUGAUCAGUUACAUAUUUGUUUUUCGGGUUUGUUUUUUGGGGGGGAAAUUAAUUAGGCCGUUAGUUUUCUCGUUUGAAUUGUUUAACAUUUGGCAUUUUGAGGCCUUUUACAGCUGACUAUGCAGUAUGGGCUUUGCUCAUUGUUGAAGGCUGUACGGUGACCGAUAGUUGUAAAUUUCUGUGUCAUUUGGUCUCUUGUGGAGAGUUGUCUCAUUGGCAAUUAUACCAAAUCUUCUUUUUUUUAUAUUUAAAUAACACACUUUUAUUUAAGUGUAAUUGAUUCACGAGGGAUUUAUUAUUUCAAUGCGCGAAACUGUUUUAUUUCAAAAUCGAUAUGUAUCAUACCUGUUCGAAUUAAAAAUAUAAAGAUAUAACGCAAACAAUCCAAUAAAUGACAAAUAAUUAAUGAAAGAAGAAAUUAAAAGAAUUCUCUUGAGCAAAUUAAAAACUAAGCAUUGGAACCUGAAAAGGCAGUAAAAACUAUUAUACUCUCGACACUGAAAUGUUCUUUUGUGGCUUUCUGAUGUAAAGAUUAAUAAUUCAUUGACAUGUUGUAGUUACAUGAACAUUGCAUUAUAAUUAUUUAAUGAUUUUUGUUUUAAAACUUUUAGCCAUUCGCAGUUACUUUAGUUACUAAAAUAGUUUUCAAUUAGUUAAAAUAUUAGCAUUUUUUAAAAGGAAGACAAUUACAGAUUGCAUGUGUACAUGUAAAAAAGUAUAAGCUCAAAGUACGAAUGAAAACGACAUACCUUUAAAGUUAUAUGAAACCUCAAAUUAAAAAAAAAUGAUUCCUAUGGAUUUUUUUGUAACAAAAUGGAUAGUUUUCACUCUUUAACUUAUGUACAUAUACUUUUGUCUGAAGAAAAUUCUUUAAUUUGUCCACAUUUAGAAGAAGUUUACUUUUUUUAAUUGCUUGAAGGAUGCAAUUCGCCGACAUAUUUUCCGUAUGCUUAGUCACCUUAGCGUGACCGUUUUCGUACAAAUGCGGUGAUUGCAAUACGCAUGGAUCUGUCACUAACUCAACUUUCAUCUGAUAGGACUUGUUAAACGUGUGCUCAAUAUCCACGCUUCUUUGUUGAUGUUUACUAUAAGAUGACAAUCGGUAAAUUUCGGUUUAAAACACAACAAGUAAUGAGCUGCCAUAUUUUCACAUCAUAACAAGCAGAGAGAGAAAAAAAAUGAUAUGCUGGAAAAGAUGGGUGACACACACCAAAGUGGCUUUCAAACUCAAUGGUCCAAAAGAAAUUGACAACGACCUGGCAAAUUUAAGUCAAUAACAUGGAUAAUUUUAAAAAUAAAGACAGUUUGUUAAUUUCUAAAAUAAUUAAGCUCGAGUCGUAAAAUAUAUUAAGAAACGGCUGCAAAGAAAGUGUAAAUCAAUCUGAAAAAGAAAGACACAUAUUAAAGAGCUAUAUGCCUUUAAUGAAAAAAUGAUAAUAGAAUUCACAAAGUCAUGUUUAGUAAAAACAAAAAUGAAUAUAAAAAUUCAAAUAAAAAAAAGACGGACGAUUCCAAAGGAAGGAUAAAAGAUUAUAAAGCGAAGAGAAAGAGACAAAACCAUUGCAAACAAGUGAAACUGUGAGCUACUGCUCACUGAUGAUACCCCGCCGAAAUAUUUAGGUAAACAGGGCGUUCUUAAGUAGUGACUCUGGAAACGCAUCAAACGGUAAAGCUGCCUUAUAUAAACCCUGAAAACAAAUUUCAGGAUUCUUUGUAUUGUAGUUCCUGAGGAAAAUGUGACGAAUAUUUUUAUGUGACGAACUAACUGACGGAUGGACUGACGGAUGGACAGACAGAGGUAAAACAGUAUAACCCCACUUUUAUACAGGGGUAUAAUAAACGAAAAGCUAAGGCAACGAACAACAGUCUACAAAGCACAGAUAAGUUAAACAAAAAAACUAAAAGUGUCUUGUGUGGAAGUUUUAUGCAAUAAUCAUAAAUAGUUUCUGAGAAAGUUUUAAGCAAUUACCAUUUAUUGCUUUUGAGACACGGCGGGACAUGUGAAACCGUUAGUUUUCUCGUUUGAAUUGUUUUACAUUGUUUUAUCGGGGCAUUUUAUAGCUGACUAUGCGGUAUGGGCUUUGCUCAUUGUUGAAGGCCGUACGGUUACCUAUAGUUGUUAAUGUCUGUGUCAUUUUGGUCUUUUGUGGAUAGUUGUCUCAUUGGCAAUCAUACCACAUCUUCGUUUUUAUAUUGAACAACAGCUUUUUUCCAUGGUGUCUAGUUUAGUUAUUAAUGCAGUUUAUUUUAUUAAAAAACAAUGUAUAAUAUAAAAGAGUAUAUAAAGCAACUUAAUAAAUUUUAAAAAUAACACCUUAGCUUUGAUAAACUAAGAAUUUUGAUCUAAUCAUGAAAAAAAAAAUGCCAUAGAAAUUCUUGAUAACCUUUUAAAAAAAAGAAAUGUGUUCCAAAAUUACAUUAAAAAAAUAUUUCAAUUAAAUCUAAAUAUUUUUUGUAAAAAUUAGAGACAUGACAUAUAAGAAGCACUUUCAUAAGCUUAAUUACCUCAGUGCAUGUGUGUUUUACAGGUGAAAAGAAAGCCCUUAUUUUCUUAAACUCGUGUAUAAACAAUACAACGUCAAUGCGAAUAUAAAUUUAACUCUUCAAAUGCAGUGACACUCAUAUUAACAUUACACAGAAGAGUAAAAACGAUUCAAAACAUUAUGUGUAUGCAUUCUUUGGUGCACUAAUGUUUUAUAUUUGCGUUAGGUUGUUAUCCCUUAAUAAAACUGCUGACUAUCACAAAGAUCAGAACCAUCAUUUGUUUUCAACACUUACUUAGUUUAAACAAUAUCACCCCGUAUAACCCCGAUACAAAUGAAUCCGGACGUUGACGCGUUUGAAGCGAUAAUCAAGACAACAUUUGGAAUGACAACGAUUUCAAAUGCCUCUCUAGGAUAUUUGAGUAUAUUAUAAAUAUGUCAAUGUGCAUGUUAGUUUAUUUAUUCAAUUAUACAGUUGUUGUCAGUUUUAGAUAUUUCAUAGCGUUUGAUAAAACUGCUACAUGCAAAACGCACAGACAUGGUGCAAUUUCGUACGUUUUAUGAGAUAAACAAUUGCUGAAUAUCUUUUCGUGCAUACUUUUUUACGUAUUAACUUUAACAAUAAUAUACUAUACGUAAUUUUAACUACGUGCUUAAAAUUGUUUCCCUAGAAUUUAGAAAUAAAACGCAAUAUCAUACCAAAUAAUUUUUUCUCUUACCUGUAUUGGUUCGUUCCACCAAAUGUGUCGCGUUCGUUUGUGCGUUUUAAAUAAUCACUGUACAGUUCGUUGAACAAAACCGUCACAAAUUACUUCUUCGGUCGACCCUUUUUCUGUAUUUUAUUGUAAAUGUUUAUCUGUUAACUUGUCAAAGGUAGUUUGAACUAAAAUAUCAGUCAUCAAAGCCAAAAUUUUGCAAUGUUUAACCACCGUACAAUCUGAUAGGAAUGUUUCUAUUGAAAAUUGGGACUUUCAACGUUAUUCAGAUGAAUUACAGUUAAAAAUAUAUUCCAGAGGAAAUAAGUUUCAAAAGUAUAAUAUAGUCAAUAAAACUUUAAUGACUUACUUUCAAAUUUCUUCCAAAUGCCGAUGUUGGUUCAAAUUCGCCUAGACGAAAGCAGACAUAGGAGCUCGUUAAAUUUACUGUGUCGAAUGCUUAGAUGGCAUUCCAACUGCUUUAUUUUUUUAUCUAUUUUUUUUUACAUACAAGCUUUGUAGAUGUUGUGUGAUGGCAGUGAGACAACUUUCCACCAAAGUUUAAAUGAAGUGUGUGUAUAAAGCAAUUAUUAUAGUCCAAUGUACAACAUUUAACAAUGAGAAAACCUAUACCAUAUAGUCGGCUAAAAAGGCCCCGAUAUAAAAAAAAAUCUAUAUAACAAAUGUACUACAGGCUCCUGACGUUGACCGAAUCACAAAAAAAUUGCGGCGGGGAUUUAAAACAACCCCACCUCUCCUUAAUCUGGUCACUGGUGUUACAGCACAACAUGAUAAAAAAAACUGUACAGUUGCAAUGGCUCAACUCAAAUGUCGGUACAAGGCACAAAACCAUAUACAUAAAAUAUCGAAAAAGGAGUAAUUGUAGUACUGAUAUUAUUUCAAAGCGAAUUGUUACUUAAGAGGUAAAUCAUGUUCUAAAGUAUAAUUAGCCAGUAUAUAUAUCCAACGGUUUUAGGUAAAGACGUAAUAAACGUAUGAACUUUUGCAAUGCCAAAUAUAAGUUACAGAUUUAACAGGUACAGCAAAACUUUCUACAUUGUAGCCAAAUUUUAUUUAUUUUUUUUAUGAAAGAAUUUGGUUAAGGGUGACUGGGAAAUAUACUAUUAGGUAUGGUCACUUUGGUCUUUUUCCGACCGACAGUAAAACCUGACCGACGUUGGCCACCCGUUUAGUUGCGAGGGAUGUAAAUGUACACAGUCACGUCUAGUCCGAAUGGGAAUAUAAGAUCCGAUGUCUCGUGUAGAGAGAGCACUACACUGUACAAACCCUUGCAAAACCUUUAUAAGAGGUCCAUAAAUGGCCUGUUGAAAAGCAACAUUUGUGUCCUUAUUCAAUAUACCUCAUUUUAUCCAGUGACAGUACAUUUUUUUAUUGAUAACUAUUAAGACAUGUAAGAAGAAUCAAAGCAAAUGUCUAAGGUUGAGUUGAUGAUUGAUGCUUUUUACUGCCGUCCUUGACAGGACCAUUCCCGAUUAAAAUUUGACAAAUGUCUGAUCAAGAUCCUGUAAAUCGUGGAUGGAAAUUCAAACUUUAAUUAAAAUUUAAAAUUUGUGUAAACAAAUUUUUCUUAAUCACGACAACAAUCAGAUAUUAUUCAGGAAGCGUCGAUAUUCAACCGUUUCCAAGCGAAUUUGUCCCGAUAAUCCAGUUCUCAAUCCGAUUCUAAUCCGAUUUGUAUCUUUCGCAUGGUAAAAUUCGACCGAGUCUGUCACGACUGCGUCCAGAUUAUACCGAAUGUAAUCCGACAGAGUUCAGACAGUGACCAAACAGUGAACUGACGCUGACGGAAGUUAUCCGUUAGAAAAUUGUCGUCAUAUUCGGGAUAAUCAGGUACUGUCGGAACGUAAUCCUAUCAUGGUCCACUCUAUUGCAUUGCAAACGGCUUUGUCUGGUCUCAGUCGUAUUGCUUUCUGUAAUUGUCGGGACUCUGACAUGGGUAUCAUUGAUGAAUUUCGUAUUAAUAACGGGACUGUUCCGGAACGGUUUCGACAAAGAGGGUUAGCAAUCUGGACUCAAUCGGCAGAAAAACAGCAAAGAAAAAUUUCUCCAGAUCAUUCCCGUUCCACAGAACACCGUCCAGAAAACACAGAACCUUGUUAGGAUUUUGAUCCGAUACAGCAGAAUCUGUCACGACAUAGUCACGAUUGUAAUCCGACUUGACAAAAUCGGCUGAGUUUCCCUGAAUGUUACGGGACGCACCUAACUGUCGGGGUACUUCGCCGAACUACCAGGACCCUUCCCGACCCGUAGGAAUCUGAUUCGAAUCUGUUACGAAUUUAAAAGACUGAGUUUAGACAAUGUCUUAUCGCUGUCUGAUCUCAAACGGGAGCAAUAAUCGGCAAUGUGUGAACGCCGCAUUAUGCCUUAAAAAUUAAAAAAAAAACAUAAUUGAAGAAAGCAAACAAGUUAAUAGCAAGAAUUAUCUCUUCAUCUUUAUACCUUCACAUUAAAAAAACUGUAUUACUAUUGAAGGCUUUAAGUUACAUGUUCAUUGUAUACACAUAUUCUUUAGCCUUAAUGUAACUGUAUUGUAAUCUAUGACCCCUAUGGUCUCGCCUCUGAGAUUCAAACCUAAAGCCUAUAAUCCAUUUAUUGUUUUUGAUUGCUGUCUAUAUAAAAAAAGAAGAUGUGGUAUCGAGACAACUGUUCGCAAGAGACCAAACGACACAAAAAUGAACAACUAUAGGUCACCGUAUGGCCUUCAACAAUGAACAAAGUCCAUACCGCAUAGUCAGCUCUUAAACACACCGAAAUGUCAAAUGUAAACUAACGGCCUAUUUUACGCACAAAAUAGUGAACAAAAAAUAAUUAUAACCACUGACUUACACGCUCCUGACUUUGGACAGGCAGAUACAGAAUAUGGCGUGAUUAAACACGUUAGCGGGCACCCAACCCACGCCCUAACCGUACAUUGAAUGUCGUAUGGUAAACACUUUUAAAAUGCCAUCAAAUUAGAAAUCGGACGUGUAUAUAUGUAUGCUUAGUCAUAUUUGCAUCUGUUAAGUUGUAUUUUCUACAAUUAGACUUUCGAAUAUACAUAAGAUUGUUUUUACAUGAACAAAAUACGCAUCAAAGAUCGUUUCAACAAUACAACGGAUAUAUGGGUUGCUGUCUGCAUUUAUGGUUGUAAAUUAUUUUUUUCAAACAUGCAUAUUGGUUAUAAUCAUAUCAAAGCAUAAUUAAUACAUGCAAAAUUCAUUGAGAAACGCAAUAAUUGUGUCAACGAAGCGUACAGUAUAAAAGUAUGUAAUGACAACGAAGCGUACACACAUGAAAAUAAUACACUUUAAAACGUGUACUUUUGUGUUUCUAGAUACAACAUAACAUACGAUCUUAUAAGUCUGUUAAUUUUAAACUAUGACAUUUUCAAAAAUGUAUGUUUUAAAAACUAUGAGAUACGAAGAAAUUAAGUUUUGAAUAUUUAAAAAUACCAAGCACGUUUUAUCAUUGAUAUGUCGUGCGUUUUUUUAUGUUUGUAUAUAAAAAUGUCACAUCUUUCAAAAACCUUUUAGUAACUAAUGAGUAUUAUGGGAAAGAAUAUAUUGGAGCAAAAUAUCCGAGAAUAGAUAUUGGAUUUUCUUUAAGAAUAUGAAUUUCUAACUGUCCGAACUCAGGGUGUGUUUGAUUCGAACGCGUCAUACGUCCGGUUUAUGCUUGUAUCGGGGUUAUACGGGGAUUAUAUUUCAAAAGUGUACAACAAAUACAAUUAUACAAUAUACAUACUGGGAUUCGGAAACAAGAAAAACUUAUAUAAAUCCGUUUCCAUUACUUGCACUUACUUACCUCAAUUCAACCAAAGUAUCGGAAUUAUUGCUACAUGUAUAUGAACAGUAAAAUACAAUUAAUAUGUAUAUUUAUAUGCAUACUUACAUUCUGGAGAAUAUAUGCAUGUCCAAGAUCAUUUAAAUAAAUAAAAUGAACAAUAUAUAAGGUUAAGGAUUAAUCACUUUGUGUACCUUACAUAAUAAAUGUAGCAUGUAGAAUGUAGUUAAAAUAAAAAGACUUAUGACUAAUUAAGCAUAGUAAAAACUUACUAUAAUCAUAGCUGUUCUGUCCUAACGGAAAUUAUAUGUAUGGAACAUAAAUAUGAAUCUAAAAUCAUUAAAAUGUUUCCUAAUUUCGUAUAGAUGUAUACUGAUUUCGACUUUGUCCUGCACAGCUACUUUUGCAUAAAUACUAUUUUUAUACCAAAAAUAUGUAGUACCCGAAAUCUACUUUUAAUAUUCAGUACUAUUUUGUUACUUUAAAAUUAUUGUAAUAUUUAGGUACCUGUAUUUUAUAGAACAUGAUUUGUACUUGAAAUUUAAGUACUACAGAUUUUUGGUUGCACGCUUACAUUUUCAGCAUUUUGAAAGUUUGUCAUUUUCAAAUCUCAUAAAGUUAUGAUGUUCAAACAUGGAAUUCUGUGCUCAUUGUUGAUAUUAUUUUUAUACCAAUAUUUUAAGUACAAAUCAAGUACUAGAAAAUACAAGUACCUAAAUAUCAAAAUAAUUCUAAGUAAAGAAAUAGUACUAAAUAUUAAAAGUAAAUUUCCAGUACUACAGAUUUUGAAAGUACAGAAAUAGUACUUAUGCAAAGUAGCUGUGUAAAUCUAUUUAAUGGAUAUCAGUUUUCUCAAUUGAAAACCUUGUACUUCGCAAGUUUCCAGUAUAUUAUAUUCUAGUUGUUAGUUUACACAUAUUUAUUUAUAGUGGAUUGGGAAAUAAGUGAUUAAAAAUUAUUUGUUUACAAUAUUGUUACUGGAACAUGCAACUUUCAAAAGUACAUUGUACUAGUUGUUAUUCCUAUUAUAUUCAUCGUUUGUACUUUUUCCUUGUAGUAUCAUCGUAUUUCUGGAAAGAAAUCUUCAAAGCGAAAAGUCAGACUGGUAUGAAAGUUUUUGAUUUUUGGAGAAUGACAAAUUUACACUGUGGAUUGCCAAAUAACCUCUACAGACAUGACUAUAUUGACAGAAUCAACAAGAC
rnacentral:lncRNA from 1 species